AACGAACGCUGGCGGCAGGCUUAACACAUGCAAGUCGAACGAGUGGCGGACGGGGGGGUAAUGCUCGGGAAUUUAGCUUAUGGAGUGGGUUAACUACGGGAAACUGUAGGGAACACCGCGCACUAUAGGAUGAGCCCAAGGGGGAUUAGGUAGUUGGUGUGGUAAAGGCUCAACAAGCCGACUAUCCGUAGCUGGUCUGAGAGGAGGACCGGCCACACGGAGACUGAGACACGUCCCAGACUCCUACGUGAGGCAGCAGUGGGGAAUUUUGGGCAAUGGGGGCAACGUGACCGACCCAUGCCGCGUGAAUGAAGAAGGUCUUCGGGUUGUAAAGUUCUUUCGUUAGCGAGGCGUUAUCUAAAGAAGAAGCAACGGCUAACUCCGUGCCAGCAGCCGCGGUAAUAC
rnacentral:rRNA from 1 species